UGCAGUCGAGCGGAACGAGUUGUCUGACCCUUCGGGGAACGACAACGGCGUCGAGCGGCGGACGGGUGAGUAAUGCCUGGGAAAUUGCCCUGAUGUGGGGGAUAACCAUUGGAAACGAUGGCUAAUACCGCAUAAUAGCUUCGGCUCAAAGAGGGGGACCUUCGGGCCUCUCGCGUCAGGAUAUGCCCAGGUGGGAUUAGCUAGUUGGUGAGGUAAAGGCUCACCAAGGCGACGAUCCCUAGCUGGUCUGAGAGGAUGAUCAGCCACACUGGAACUGAGACACGGUCCAGACUCCUACGGGAGGCAGCAGUGGGGAAUAUUGCACAAUGGGCGCAAGCCUGAUGCAGCCAUGCCGCGUGUGUGAAGAAGGCCUUCGGGUUGUAAAGCACUUUCAGCAGUGAGGAAGGGUGUGUAUUUAAUAGAUGCACAUUUUGACGUUAGCUGCAGAAGAAGCACCGGCUAACUCCGUGCCAGCAGCCGCGGUAAUACGGAGGGUGCGAGCGUUAAUCGGAAUUACUGGGCGUAAAGCGCAUGCAGGUGGUUUGUUAAGUCAGAUGUGAAAGCCCGGGGCUCAACCUCGGAACUGCAUUUGAAACUGGCAGGCUAGAGUACUGUAGAGGGGGGUAGAAUUUCAGGUGUAGCGGUGAAAUGCGUAGAGAUCUGAAGGAAUACCGGUGGCGAAGGCGGCCCCCUGGACAGAUACUGACACUCA
rnacentral:rRNA from 1 species